rnacentral:rRNA from 1 species
GACGAACGCUCGCGGCGUGCUUGACUCAUGCAACUCGAACGGAAAGGCCCUGCUUUUGUGGUUUGCUCGAAUGGCGAACGGGUGAGUAACACGUGAGUAACCUUCCCGUGACUUUGUGAUAACGUCAGGAAACUGGGGCUAAUACCGUAUAGGAGCUCCUGCUGCAUUGUGGGGUGUGAAAAUUUUCGGCGCUUGGGGAUGGACUCGCGGCUCAUCAGCUUGUUGGUGGGGUAGUGGCUUACCAAGGCUUUGACGGGUAGCCGGGCUGAGAAGGUGACCGGCCAGAUUGGGACUGGUAUACGGGGCAGAGUCCUACGGGAGGCAGAAGCGGAGAAUAUUGCACAAUGGGCGGAAGACUGAGGCAGCAACGCCGCGUGAGGGAUGACGGCCUUCGGGUUGUAAACCGCUUUCGUCCGUGACGAAGCGUGAGUGACGGUAAUGGGUAAGGAUGGAACGGCUAAGUAC